UCCUUAAAGGGAAAACACCAUUAGCUGCGUAUCCGCCAGGAAUCGAAGAACUCCGAGAUCCAUUACAGUUUAUACCUCACAAAGAGUGUCAACUUACUCAGUUUUAGGAAGGCAAAAACUCGACAAGGUGCUCGGUCUGCCCUGACGUGUCCCUGUGAGCACAAGGUCCUACCUGGUCAAGCAGCCCCAUGAGGAGCACGGGCAGGCUGGAGUAGAGCACGUUGUAGAGCGUGAUGAACCAGUCCUCGUACGCCGUCUGUGGGGAGGUUAGAGUCUGCGUCACAAACCAAGACCUGCUGCUGGCCUAGUCAAUGCACAUGCAUUCUUUCUCAACUGGGAGGCCCCCAGCAUGCGUGGGGGCUUCUGCCAGCGUAAACCCCACUCCUCUGCAUUUGCAGAAGGUGUGAGUUGGGUUCAACGGAAUGGGCAGAAUCCACACUCCGCAGAACAGACCUUCCUUCUAAAAUGAAUGGGAGAACAUACACCAAAACAUUUUUUGGGAAGGGAGUCCGUCCAUUCUAUGUGAAGAAUGCUGGAAAAUAUGUUGGUGCCCAUCCUUUCUGUAUCCCUUUGUUAACAAAUUCGGAAUACAUAAACCCACAGACCGGCCCAAGAAGCACAUAAGAGUACCCAUUGAAGAAGGAGUACCAGAAAUGAACCAAUGUAAAUGCGAAGUUUUUGUAAAAGAAAUAUCGAAGGAACUUGCACAUCCUUAUGUAAGACCACCGGCCAUGUACCAACAGCAGUCUCUGCAAGUAUCUGAACUGGGCAAAGGAGUAGUCACUUGACAUGACAGCUUGCAUGCCUUCUUGUCCACUUAUCCCAACACCAAUGUGGGCAGCUGUGGGGCGGAGGGAGAAGAUAUGUGAAUCAUAAGCUAAUUUUAAAGCAAAACAUGGAGAUGAUAAAAAUGUUUCCACAGCAAAACAAAGAAACAGACAUUCUUGGAGCAAUGAAAACUCUUGCUCACCAGCCCCGCCCCAGCUUCUGAACUCAACUUUAUGUCAGAGAUACAAGUGGCUAAAAAAAGCACAAGGCAAGGGCUCUGAGGAGUAUUUGUGGAAGGAUCUCAGGUGGGUGGUAAAUUCCAUUUGGGUUUUCUGCCCAGCUCAUAAGCCAUCCUUCCCACCCACGGAGGGAACCCAAGGAAUCCAUGCAUAUUGUGUGUCCCUGCCUCCCUGGCCACAGCUGAGUCAGCUCUGGGCUGGUAGGUCAUCGGUAGCAUAUACAGAUUGGCUCUCCGAACCUUCAUGUCACCCUUGUUCUAUUGGAAAGGUGGGAAAGCAAAUAAAAACCUAACACCGCUCUGACUUCCUCGCAGCAAGAUUCUAUUUGUGAACUGGGUUCCAUCGUUGAGGGCCACCUGGAGCCCAGCAGCCCUUCCCUUUGUGGCAUUUCUGCAGUAGAGUUCAUAUCCUCUCUCCAGCUGCCUGGAGGUUGACGGACCAAAGUUUUUCAGCUGAAAAGCCCUUCACAGAAGCCUCAAAGUUAGAAGCUCCUCUGGUGCGUGACUAAGACAUUCGAAGCUCAGCCUGGCACCUGCUGCUUCAGUCUAUCCAGCGCUUUUGUGAGCACUUAGUCCCUUACAUUAAUCACUUCCUGCUUAAAGUACCCAGGGGGGUCUGUUUCUUAUACUAUCCUUGGCACAGAACCCAAGCUGGACCAAUCCGUGUCUCUUUCACAUUUUGGAACUAAGAUUUGGGUUUGUGUUUGUCAUUUUAACUUCUAAAUUCUUGAGUUGUGGGACAGAUAUAUUUAUUUCCAAGGGGUUCUGAGAGGCAGAAGUACAGUGGUCUAGAAGGAGGAUUGAACAGAAGCUGGGUUCCUGGUUCCAGCAUCUUCCUGAGGUCUGGCUUUUUGGGAGGCAUGAAACAUCUUUAGAUCUUUUAAAAUAAAUUUCUUUUUGUCUUAA